AUUGAACGCUGGCGGCAUGCCUUACACAUGCAAGUCGAACGGCAGCACGGGUGCUUGCACCUGGUGGCGAGUGGCGAACGGGUGAGUAAUACAUCGGAACAUGUCCUGUAGUGGGGGAUAGCCCGGCGAAAGCCGGAUUAAUACCGCAUACGAUCUACGGAUGAAAGCGGGGGACCUUCGGGCCUCGCGCUAUAGGGUUGGCCGAUGGCUGAUUUGCUAGUUGGUGGGGUAAAGGCCUACCAAGGCGACGAUCAGUAGCUGGUCUGAGAGGACGACCAGCCACACUGGGACUGAGACACGGCCCAGACUCCUACGGGAGGCAGCAGUGGGGAAUUUUGGACAAUGGGCGAAAGCCUGAUCCAGCAAUGCCGCGUGUGUGAAGAAGGCCUUCGGGUUGUAAAGCACUUUUGUCCGGAAAGAAAUCCUUGAUUCUAAUACAGUCGGGGGAUGACGGUACCGGAAGAAUAAGCACCGGCUAACUACGUGCCAGCAGCCGCCGUAACAC
rnacentral:rRNA from 1 species